AUCACACCUUUGCACUCCAACCUGGGUGACAGAGCAAGAUUCUGUCUCAAAAAAAAAGAAAAGAAAAUAUUUUUUAUUUCAUCCUUAUUAUUUAUAGGUAUUUUUGCUGGAUAUAAUCGGAUGGCAAUGAUUUUCUCUCAACACUGAAAAUGCUAUUAUACCAUCUUCCAACUUCUGCUGUUCUUUUUGAUAUGUAAUUGGCAGUCUGAUUUCCCUUCUUUUCUCAUGGUUGCUUUU
rnacentral:lncRNA from 1 species